CACGGGGGGAGCAAGCGUUGUUCGGAUUUACUGGGCGUAAAGGGCGCGUAGGCGGCCUCUGCAAGUCGACUGUGAAAUCUCCGAGCUUAACCCGGAACGGUCAGCCGAUACUGCAGGGCUAGAGUGCAGAAGGGGCAACUGGAAUUCUCGGUGUAGCGGUGAAAUGCGUAGAUAUCGAGAGGAACACCUGCGGCGAAGGCGGGUUGCUGGGCUGACACUGACGCUGAAGUGCGAAAGCUAGGGGAGCGAACGGG
rnacentral:rRNA from 1 species